UAUGAAAAAAAUAAGACUAAAUUAUAGAAAAUUUUUCUACAAAUAUUCUCUUUUUUUUUUUUUUUUAAAUCUACAUUUUGUCCUCUUAAAAUUUUAGAAAUAUUUUCANACCAAGCACAGUCAAUUAAAACCUAGUUCUUUAUAUUUCUAGCUGAGUUAUUUAUUAAAAAAGAGGAAUGAAGUAGAUAACUUGUUAUCUUUCUCUCUUUUUCGCUUUCAAGAGAACGAAAAAAAAAA
rnacentral:lncRNA from 1 species